rnacentral:rRNA from 1 species
UACGUAGGGUGCGAGCGUUGUCCGGAAUUAUUGGGCGUAAAGAGCUUGUAGGCGGUCUGUCGCGUCUGCUGUGAAAACCCGAGGCUCAACCUCGGGCCUGCAGUGGGUACGGGCAGACUAGAGUGCGGUAGGGGAGAUUGGAAUUCCUGGUGUAGCGGUGGAAUGCGCAGAUAUCAGGAGGAACACCAAUGGCGAAGGCAGAUCUCUGGGCCGAUACUGACGCUGAGGAGCGAAAGCGUGGGGAGCGAACAGG